UUGAUUUUCGCUAAGUUCUUCACCGGAAACCUAGUUCAAUAAUUUGUAUAUCCAAAAAACUACGUUAUUCUUCAGCAAACAAUAGGACUUCGAAAAAUAGAGUUUACGUUGAUUGAAUUCACAGAUUUAAGGCAAAACACAAUUGAUUGGAUCAAUGGAUAUAAAUCAGCAAGAAAUAUGAUAAACUAAAACCUGUAAAAUCAAAACCCCAGAUUUACUUUUUUUCGGCGACGAUUGAAGGCGGA
rnacentral:lncRNA from 1 species